AAAAGUGUCCAGGAGCGGGAAUCGAACCCACAACCUUCUGCUUACCGGGCAGGUGCCAUGUCCAUACGUCAUCCAUUCAUAUAUAGACCAUCACUCU